rnacentral:tRNA from 1 species
GUCACGAUAGCUCAAGUGGUAGAGUAGAGGCGUAUAAAGCCGAAGGUCGUGGGUUCGAAUCCCGCUCGUGACA